rnacentral:rRNA from 1 species
CAGUCGCCACGGGAAUACGUAGGUGGCAAGCGUUGUCCGGAAUUAUUGGGCGUAAAGGGCCCGCAGGCGGUUUCUUAAGUCUGAUGUGAAAGCCCCCGGCUCAACCGGGGAGGGUCAUUGGAAACUGGGAAACUUGAGUGCAGAAGAGGAGAGUGGAAUUCCACGUGUAGCGGUGAAAUGCGUAGAGAUGUGGAGGAACACCAGUGGCGAAGGCGACUCUCUGGUCUGUAACUGACGCUGAGGAGCGAAAGCGUGGGGAGCGAACAGGAUUAGAUACCCCAGUAGUCCCUGUCUCUUAUAC